UACGUAGGGUGCAAGCGUUGUCCGGAAUUAUUGGGCGUAAAGAGCUCGUAGGCGGUUUGUCGCGUCUGGUGUGAAAAUCCAGGGCUUAACCCUGGACCUGCAUCGGGUACGGGCAGACUAGAGUGCGGUAGGGGAGAUCGGAAUUCCUGGUGUAGCGGUGAAAUGCGCAGAUAUCAGGAGGAACACCGGUGGCGAAGGCGGCAUCCUGGACCAACACUGACGCUGAGUGAGCGAAAGCCGGGGAGCAAACGGG
rnacentral:rRNA from 1 species